CAGCAGCAAGCUUCUCGAAGAUGUCGUUGAUGAAGCUGUUCAUGAUUCCCAUGGCCUUGCUUGAGAUACCGAUGUCAGGGUGAACCUGCUUCAGAACUUUGAAGAUGUAGAUCUUGUAUGUCUCCACACUCUUCUUAUUUCUCUUCUUCUUCUUGUCUCCGGCGGCGGCACCGGCUUCCUUGGGAAGCUUCUUUCCGGCCUUGGGUUUCUUCUCGGCAGGAGCCUUCUCGGCCACCGUAGACUUCUUCUCUUCGACGGGUUUCUUCUCAGCAGGCUUCUUCUCUCCCUUUGGCGCCAUUACAAGAAUUGAGAAAUUUAGGGUUUCGAAUUGGAAAUUGGAUAUUAAAACUGAAACGAGAUGAUGAAUGCAAAGGUUGCGGUAGUUUAUAUGUAUAAGAAGAUUCUAUAGUUGCUAUUGGCUAAAAUGGUUAUUCGCGGAUUGUUGACGUGGAACACUUUUAAGCCGUUGUACUAGUUUUAAUAGAAUAUGACAAUCAACGGUCACAAUCUUGCUUUAACUCAACGAUGAUGAUGGUGCUGUGUGGGUGACUGGAUUACAUACUUUUAAUUUAUUUUGUUCCAACAAAACUCUCCUAGAUACUUAUUGCUAAAAUAAAAUAUACUCCGUAUUUAAUUAUCAUUUAGAUUAUUAUAAAGAUAUUUUAUGAAAUAUUAUAAAAAGAUUCAUCUACACAUUUAUAAAUUUUUACCACAAGUUAAAUUAAACUUUUAUUUUUAUUUUUAAACUCGUUUUUAAAAUAAAAAAACAGUUUGCAUCAAUCUAAACCCACUUUAAAAAAUCAUGUAAAAUUUUAAGUUGUCUUAGUCCAGUGAAGGAAUGAAGGUCACAAACAUUAUUUCUUUAGGGUACUUACCAUACAAAUAGUUUUAAUAUAAUGAAAUCUAAGAUAAAUCUUCAUUAGAAUGGCACAUAAUCAAAGCUUCAAAAAAUUCCGGAUCGUCAACACCUAUAAGCAGUAUAAGAUUUUAGGUCUCUAAAAAUUAUAUAACUACUAUAAAAGACUAAUGAAUGCCUUACAUUUAAUUACACAUUAUUUUAAUCAUAAAUACCUCACACUUUCAAUUGUCACUCAUUUGACGACAUUUUGUGUUUGCAAGUACCCCCCACCCCACCCCACCCAUCCACCCACACACACACCGGUAUAAAGCAUCAAGAUAGUAAAUCACCUAUCGGAGUUCACAAUUAGAUGUCAAUUCAUCGCCUCGCUCAUGAACUAGAUAGGUCUUUUCGAGAAUAAUUGGUGUCGUCUAUGGAAACUGACUUUCAACGUUUCCACAAUACUCGAUAAUAAGAUUCAUUGCUGACCAAAGGGAGAAAGACUGCAUCAACGUCAGUGACAAUGCCAUACCAUUUUCUAUUCAUUGAAAUCAUCAAAAUUGCUCCAAAAUUACAUAUGAACAUAUAAUAUUUCAGUCAUCUUAAUGAGUGUCAAUUCACUUACCUUCACCGCCAGCGGUUUCAACAUUUCCUUCAUUAGUCGAAGGCAUUAUGUUGUUGAUGAUCUUGUUAUCAAAUGAAGGAAUUCAACAAUCACCCCUAAAUAUAUCGGUAAAAGGUAAUACUUUGCCAUUAUCCACCCCCUCAAUCCUCGACGGUCUCUUGGUUGUCGCUUAGAGAUGGUCAAUGUCUUUGGAGGAACAUAAUGAAAGGCUUUAACGGAUUAAAGUGACCAGUCUCAGCAACCAAAGUCCCAUGAAGGACAAUAUAGGGUUUGAUAAGAGUCAAUAACGAAACACUGACUUUCUACAAUAAGGAUCUAGAGGAAUCAUCAUGUCCUCACGGCCCUAGAUCCCACUCCCUAAAACUAAGGAAACGUUUAUCGCUUAGUCCCAAAGACCAUAAUCUUUGUUACAUCCAGCACCAUGGGAAUUUACCACCAUCUUCCUUUUUAUAAGAAAUUGGGGACAAUGAGGACGCUCCUAAAAGUGAUGUUUUCCCCGUAGAAUAAACGAACACCCCUUAUCUUUUGACUUUGUUGUAUUUUGUUGCUUUUUCAUCUAUAUUUUUAUUUUGUUGCAUAAUUACUUGUUUGUUUUUCCAAAAUGUUUUCAAACUCUGUUUUUCCAAAUGAUUUUGUUUUCAACCAAUGUUUUACAAACAUCCACAGUCCCCCUUGUAAGACCCCAAUUUUGAUCCUAAGAUCCAUCAUGUUAUUAUCAUCAUAUGCAUUGGCAUUGGGAUCACACUUUGGCAUCCUCAUUACCCCUCAUUCAUUGGGUUUACAUUGGGAGAGAUCAUCAAGCACCAUGUGAUUGUAUCAUAUUUUCUUAUAAUUUACUAACCAAAAUACCAAAAAUAUGUCUUUGUAUAAUCUAAUUCUUUUGUAGGUAGGGCACAUGCUCACCUUUGAUCUAUCAAGCUCACAUCUAGGGUUUAAGACCCUCAUUGCAAUGAGCUCAAUCAAGAUUUGGUUUAAUAUGGAUCUAAGUAUUAUAUAUGAAUCCCCAUGAUCUUCACAUUUUAUUUUGAUCAAGAAAUCAUCAAGAGUUUGGAGUUGGUUUGCCUUGGAAACCCUAAUUCAUCUGGGUAUUUUGUGUGACUUCUUCAACACGUUUCUUCACCAGUUGAUCAAAUAUUUCAAGUUAUACUUCAAAUUUCAUCAUCUUAUGCAUGUAUGAUCCUCCGUGAGUCUUAAAAGUCAAGAGAAUGUCAAGCUAGCAAGUUGGUUCAUGGUAGUUGACCAGAGGAAUUCAACUGAUCAAAAUUGGGGUUCCCUAGACCCUAUCUCCUAAACUUUUUGUCAUAUGAAAAUGAUUCCAAGACAAACGUUACUCUAAAUGACAUUACAAAAAACUUUCAUGUUAAGGUCUAGAGCUAGUUUUGCUUCGAAAAUCAUUUUUUAUGGUGAAAGAUUAUAGGUCAUUUUGUCUAAACCCUAAUUUGGAAGUCAACUCCCAAGACCAUAACUUGCUCAAUUUUUAUGAUAUAAAAGCUAUUCAAUUUUCACAAUCAAAUUCAAGAUGUCUACUUCAACUUAGAUGUUUGGAGGAAGAGAAAAUUCAACUUUUAAAUGCAUGUGAUAUGAGGAGAGAUUAUAGGUCAUUUUGGGCCAAUACCAUUGAACAAGUGAUUUUCCUCAACUUCUAAAAUGUAUAACUCCUUCAUACUAAAUCCAAAUGAGGUCAAAUUUGUAACCAAUUUUAAGGACUUUGAGAGAGUUACAACUUUUAUUAAGGAAAGUUUCUCAUUUGAAGUCCAUAGAAAAAGUUACCCAAGGUGGAAGAAGUGAACAUAUGGCUUGGUACUUAGAAUUUUUUUUGAUAUGUUUGAUUUUCCAAACUUCCACCUCAAAAUUCAUCAUUAUCCAAGUUUCAAAUGAAAAAGUGUUUAACAUAAAAGUUGUUCCUCUUGAUCUAACCUUUCUAAAAAAGUCCAACUUCAUCCCAUUUGGACAAAGUAUAAGUGACUUGCGCAUGGCUUAAAGUUGGAUGACCAUUUGGCAUAAUUGAACUCCCAUCUUCCAUACACAAAUGCAUGGCUUGUUAACAUGACUUCAGCAUUGCUUACACAUGAUUUUGGACCUAAGUGAAUCAUUACAUGGGCCUACCACACGCCCAUGCAUCCAUGCAAAGUGAAAUUGCUAUUUUUGAAAGUUUGAAACAAGUGUGCAAAUAACAAUGCUUUGGCUAUAAAUAGAAGCUCAAUCACUCAGAAUUGAGGACCCUUGCGCGCCAGCUUUGAAUCCCUAGCCCUAAACACCUUCAUUCAUAGGAUAACCUUGAGGAUUUCCAUUAGAAAUCGAGUCUGAAUCUCCACUGUUUUGAGGUUCAAAUCUCCAAGAGUCCUGCUUCUUUCUUGAUUCAUUUCCACUCCAUCAAGCAUCCAGAGCAAGGCUAAGCAUAAUUGAGAGCAAGAUCGUGGCCAUCUGAACCUGUAGUGAAGGUGAUUUUCUCAAUUUUUUAUCUCUUCGAUUCUCACACAAUUCUCCAUAAUUCUUCUUGAUUUUUGGUUGUCUGAAGUCUUACCAAUGUAGGCAAGAAGAUUGAGUUGCUUUGAGGACAAAUCGAAGUAACUCGAAUCAUGAUCCUCAAAAUUCAACUCCCUGUAUCUUUCAAUAUACUUGGACUUAGAUGAAAUUGAGGCCAAAUUCGAGCUCCUGAGCAUUUUUACUUUAAAUUCAUGUCCUCCUUUUUUAUUUUACUCAUGGUCGAAGGUGGUAUCUCAAACCAUAGGAUCAUCUUAUUUUGUUUUAAUCUCACACGUUGGUUUUGAUUACCGUCCCUGCAAUGCAUUGACUUAGGUCCAUCAUGGAACGCGCGUUGGGAUCCACUUGAUCUGCCACCUCAAUUAAUGAGGGAGAUCAAGUGGUCCACGUAUUUUAGCAUUUUCUGAUUUUUAGUUUAAUUGCUUUAUUUUCAUUAAUUCAUAUUAAUUUUAAUAUUGAUCCAAAUCUCAAUUAAUGAGGGAGAUCAAGUGGUCCACGUAUUUUAGCAUUUUCUGAUUUUUAGUUUAAUUGCUUUAUUUUCAUUAAUUCAUAUUAAUUUUAAUAUUGAUCCAAAAAAUAUGAGACUUUCACCACAAAAUUUCAAAUAAAUUCCUCUUUCAUUUUCUGAAUUAAAAUUGUUUUUUGGAUCAUUAUUAAAAAUUUUCAUGAUUUAAUUGUUUUUGUACAUAUUUAUAAUUGUUUAAAAAUACUUUUAAGUUUCCAAAAAUGAUGAAUUUUUUCUCCAAGGUCCUUUGACCUUGUUUGACCUAUGAUAAACCUCAUGGUCAUUUAUUUGGUGUUUUGAUGGGGUUUUAGGAUUUUGACCAACCAUUAUUUAAUUUAAUGCAUUUUAUAAUUGAUUUUAAUUGUUUAAUUGCAAAUAAGUUGUGUUGGGCUAUUUGUGUUGACUUGUUGAGUUUGACUAUUGUUGUUGGGUCUUAGUCAAAGUUGAUUUGACUUUGUUGAGUUAAAAUAAUUGGAUUUAGGGGAUUGAUGAAAUGUACAUUUCAUCUCCCAAAAUGAAUUAAUGAUAUUAAUUUGAUAAAAGUCAUCCUUUGACCAAUUUGUGUUGAUUUCGUUUCCCCUCCCUCUUCAUCUCAAUCCUAUUAUAUUCUCAUUCAUUUCUUUGACCUAUGAUAUCUCUAUAUCCUAAGGCUAGUGGAUUGUAAAAUCAACAUAAGUAUGUAUGAGAUUAGGUCCACCCAUUUUGCCACUUUCUUUUAAGUGUGGUAUGUUUUACGAGUAUGGUUCAUAAUAUCAUAUCUCUAACAUGCAUUAACACUAAAAUUUCUAUUGAUCGGCCUCAAAUAGUUAUGACUUCUACAUAAGUCCAAUUACGAUUGUUUAACAUAGCGCUAAAUUUUGACUCAUAAGCAUAGCAUUCUAGUAAGUGAGAUUGUAAGUCUCCCCCCUUUCAUGGUAUUAUGUAGAAACUUUGCCUUUUUUCCUUCCUUUGGAAGAUGUCUUGGUUCAAGGAUCUAUGCUUGUGAAUAGAGGGUUGAGUGUUCUCCAAAGAAUGACUUAAACAUUGAAAAGCAAAAGCAAUAUUAACUUCUAAUCAAAUAAGAUUCAACUAACAUUUAAUUUCAAGCACUUUACUUUUAUGCACUUUAAAUUCAAGUCUUUACUCAUUUGCCAUUAUUCAUACCAUUUAACUUGUUUAUUUUAAUGUCAUUUUCACUUUGCUCACUUGAGCUUUAUUUUGUGAUUAUAUUGUGAUUGUAUAUACUUGUUUGUGUAUUUUGUUUGGUUAUGCGGUCUUUUGACCUUAAUGUACAUAAUAACAACAAAAACUCUAAAAAAAGAUUUGUGUGGACUGUUGGUUUUGUUCUGAGACAUUGGACUUAGAAUUAGGCAACAUUCCAUAUGCAAAAGGACUUGGCCAAUGCCAACUUUUCUGAAACCAAGUGCCUGUGAAGUUAACUUUCAUCUGAAGCAAGUAUUGAGAUCCCACUUGAGUUCAUCUGCUACAUGGUCUUAUUAUAGAUGUUACUUUGAACCUAUGACUAAUGCCUAUCUCUGAGCCAUUCAAGAAGUAUGUCAUCUGGUGCAUGGGAGAUUAUGAAGAAGAUCAUGAAGUUGCUAAGCUUGGAUGUGGCUAUCUUUAUUUGAUGUCUUUCUCUUUAUCUUGCUAUUUGUGUAUUGAUAUUGCUUGAUUCUAAAGUCCAAGGGAAAUUUGGGUUUCUAUAUGACAUUCUUGUCUAUUGGAUUGCAGCCCAUUGGUCAAAUCUUUUUAACUCUUAACUUUUAAAUUUUUGUUUAGGAGUAGUUGUAACACCCCGAUGAAAUUAAGAUAAUUGUUUAAAUUAAGUUAAUAUUUUAUUUAUUAAUUUAAUUAAAUAAUUAGAAAAUUAUUGGAUUAUUAAUAUUAUUAUUGGGAUAAUAUUAUUGGGUUGGGGGGGAGGGGGAAAAAAAAAGGAGGGAAAAAUUGGCUUCCCCUACUUUUCCCCAAAUAAAACUGCUCGUUACCUGAAAACAGUUGUAAGGGUGAGUUCCCUCAAUCAAUAUAAUGAGUAUUAUAAAAAUAUCAUGUAUGUUAAGUGAUUCACACACUUCAUCACCUAAUCAAAACACACAUUCAGGAACAAAUAUUAAUUCAAAUCAUACUCAAAUAACAGCACAACAAUACCAACACAAACACACGUGAAUAUUGGAAUACAUCCAUUCAAUAUUACACGCUAUACAUAUUUAUGCAUGAGACUCCAUGCAUGCGGUACCGACUAUUGUGACAUAGUUCAACUCACCGUCCAAUCCGGCACGGCUACCAAGCUCACUAGUCCCUCAUUUGGACAUAGUGACUCUCACUAAUUCCUCACCAUGGGAUUAGCUACCACCCCAAAUGGCCAUGCUAUGCACGCUAUCACCUAGCAUGCAAACAUCAAAACAAAUCACAAUGAUUUACUCACUAAUUCCUCACCAUGGGAAUUACACACAUAAGCGCACAAUAUGCAUGCUAUCACUAGCAAUGCACAUCAACAACAUUUAAGAUAACACUGCUCACACUCUAAGCCAUAAAUAGUCUAUUAAAUGCAUAACAUUCACAUCAUUCAUGGUAUACCAUCACAUAUCAUCAACAAACGCAUAUCAUAUCAUGCACAUAAUAAAUCAUAGUAUAGCACACUCUACUAAUACCUAUACUAUUCAAACAAGGGAAUUGAUCCCUAAACAUCAUACCUCAGUAAGUACAUCCACUCAGCCUAAAAACCAAAAACUGCAUAACAUUGUUUCAGGAAAAUCACAAUCUGCCAUACGCGUAUUCCUAUGCCCUACGCGUAUUGCCCAACUGACCAAGUCCUACGCGUAAUGCCCACGCCCAUUACGCGUAUGCUAGCGUACCACUCCUCAUACGCGUACCAACAGAGACACUUUACGUUCAAACAUCAUCUCUUUCACUCUACGCGUAGGCCUCAUCCAUACGCGUACCAGCUCAUCUCAUACGCGUAUUGCUAGUGCCAUACGCGUCAUGACCAGAAACCAGAAUUUCCGAUCUGCGUGGCUUUCUCUGCUACGAGAUCUAUCCAAUUCAACUUCUACGUCCAAAUUUUACACGCAAUUCAUUAUAUCAUCUAACACGAAUCAGACACUUUUCGAUUUCACAAAUUGCCAACCUUUCUACUUAAUUCCUACGAAUUUUCAUCAUUAUCAUCCAAUUCGUUCAUCAUAUUUCACAGUUCAUCAAUAUCAUUUCAAUCGAGUCAAAUUCGCAGGUUCAUCACUCCAUUACAUGCUAUCCAUAAGACCAUCAAACGAUGAUAAACCCCCUUACCUGAGUAAAUCCGGCAAUUCCGUUAGCUUCAAGCUUUUCCUCUUCUCUUGCUCUGCCUCUUUUCCUUUCUCUUUCAAGCCGCUCUUUUCCUUUUUCACUUAGUCAAGAACGCUUCACCAUGAGGACUUUUUAUUAUUCAACUUAUAUACUGCAAUAAUAAAAANCAACUGUUUAUUUGAUUAAAUAAAGAGCAUGACUGUUAUUUUGGAACAUGGUGUGAAGUGAUCAUGUGACACCCUUAACUGCAUAAUUACUCUGAUGUUGUAUUUUGAUAUUUAAUUAAAUUAUUGGGGUAUUUUAGAAGGGUGUUACAGUAGUCUCUUCAUCUCCUCCCACUUCUUUAAUUUUAAAUCCUUCCCUCAUUUUAAAAUCUUCUUUGUUUGUGUUUUCUAAACUUAGACUUUAUUGCAAAUUAGAAACUUUGGCCUUAUGCCAUUGCAUUUUUAAACUCUUUUCUUAAUCAAACUUGUAAAUGAAUCUCACUAUAUUGACUUAAAAUUUCAAAAGACAAAAAGAACUAACACUCAUUCAAACCUUUUUAGACCUUUUGUGCCUUUGCUAACCUUAAAUUUUUGUUAAAAGCAAUGCACUCACUUUGAAAUUGUUACCACGAACUACGAGGUUUUGAUCCCUCAUUUUAUGUUGGUACGUAGGCACAAGUCCGAAGGUCUUGUCAAACACAAAUAUAAUUAAUGAAUUCUUUUCUCAUCCCUCCACUCUAUUUAUUGCAAACAUCAUUUUGUACAAACACACAUAUUCACACAAAAAAGGACUCCCUAUGAGUACCUAGGACACUUUGAAUGCUAAUACCUUCCCUCUGUGUAACCAACCCCCUUACCUGUAACCUCUGGCAUUUUAUUAGUUUUGAUUUGAAAACUUCUUAUCUUUGGGUUUUGUUCGUACUUUUCCCUUUUCCCUUGGAAACAAUAAAAGCGUGGUGGCGACUCUGGUUUUAUUGAAGUUAAGUUUAUCCAUAGAUUAAUGAUCAUGAAUUUAUCGCUACGCCCCCCCCCCCCUUCUUGUUUAUGGAGUCAUAUGUCCAAUAAGUGGAAUAAUAGUCUAACUCAUGUUUAAAUACUAAUCAUCUAGAGAGGAAGAUAACUUCAAACACUUAUUUUAACAAGAGGAUUUUCCUUAACGCACCUUCAUCGUUUAAUGGUGAUGGGUUUGUUAUAUGGAAAGUUGGAUUUAAAAUGUUCAUUAAAAUAUAUAAUAUUGUAUUUGUGGGAAACGAUAGUCAAUGGUCUGUUUAUUUUUGCUCACUAUGUUAACAGUGAAGUAGUAUAUAAACUUGGUUUCCUUUUGACUAAAAAAGACAAGACAAAUUUCAAAGAUAAAAAAGUUUUAGUUAUCACUUUGUAACACCUCGUAUAAUAUACAUCUAGAAAAUACAUUAUACACAAUGUUAAUUACUAGUGACACACCACAAGUGUCUAACGGCAUCACUAUAUAUACACAUGUCUAAAAGAAAAUAGAAUUAUGACACAUGUUAUACAUGGGUGCCUAAUUAAAAACAAAGAUCUAUGUACAAUAUUUAUAUUUCACAUAAUCCACAACGGAAGAUCACGAUAACGAAAGUCUUCGAAAUAUCAUCAUACAAAGUCAUAAUUAUACUUGUGUAAUUUACCACAAUAGAACAAUGACUUAAGCAUCUAAGGGAAUUUACACGUUGUAUGGAAAACACACAACACAAGUUCACAUAAACUCAAAGAAUCACUAUUCAGAAGCAAGAAACAUUGUUCCCCAACCGGACCUACGUUUAGGGAAAGGCUCGGCUCACACAUGUUCGUAUGAUUCGACUUUCUUGUGAAUUCAGGUUUUCCAUGGGACUCGAAUCCACUUCAAGAACUAUCACUCAUAUGGGACUUGAACCCACUUAGAUUAUCUUUUGCAGUAUGGGACUAGAACCCACUUAGGCGUCCACCCCUCCUCCAUGGACUCAAUCCAUAGUUGGGACUCAAACCCAUUGUGAGGCAUGAGCCUAAUCCCAAUUCUACUUUACAUAAGCAUCUCAAUUGGGAUGUGCAUGAUCAAGGGAAAUUUUUGAAUAUGUGAAUAGUUCUCAACAAUCACCACAUGAUUAUUCUUAUCAGACACUAUGCAAUUAUAUCACAAUCACCAUGGGUUGAUAUCAUAAUUACCAUAUGAUUUUAUCACAAUCACAUUAUAUUACAAUGUGUUUCCAUACAAGCUAGUUCAAUUUGCAAUUGGAUCAUCGUUAACCAUCCAUACCAUAUGGCACAUUUUAUAAAUGGAACGGUCCAUCUCUAGCAACUACUCGUUCAUGGAUGCGCAUCGAUGCACCUCUUACAUUCGAGCAUUGCAACCUAAGUUAUUUACCAUAACCUAAGUUAUCUUUUAUUAAUUCAUUCACCUAAUUACAAACCUAGGUCUAACCUCGCUUUUUAUCAUAUAUUUUAAUCAAUUAUUAUACAAUCAACACGAGUAAACAAUUUGUAGUAUAAUUCAUAAUACACAUGUGUUAACUCAUAUACAUACACAUCACAACAUGAUACAUGAAAUACACAUAAUAGUUCAUCACUAAUUAGGACUUUCGGAAUAAAGUCUCUUCACCAAUAUCCAAACAAUAACAUUUGGCAUUCAUAUAAUAUUUCCUCACAAAUUUUUCACUUAACUUAUUACAUAAACAUUAGGCGAAGCUUUCACGCAACUUGCUUUGACCUAAAUAAUACCACCUACACACCACAUAGUAAGUGUAUGUUUGAUCAUCCUAUGGUGGGGAUUACCCCGAUCGGACGGGGAAAUUUGAGUGGGAUAAGAACAUAGAAAUUCCAUUAUUUUAUAUCCCUUUGUGUUAUUUGACCGUGUCUCAUUCCGAAUUACGUCACAAACAAUGUCACGGAAAAAAACCACAAGACUAUCAGGCUAGCUAGGCGAGCCAACAUCUCACUGAGCGAGAGUGGGACAAAAAUGUAGUUGCAUGUCUCUACUUCACUCAGGGAGAGCUUCUAUCCAGUUAUUUUUUUGCUUGUCUUCUCGCUUUCAUUUUUGUUUUUAUUUCGGUUUGUGUAGUCUCCUUCAUUAUUGCAUUUCUUGUAAUCGAAUUUUGAUUUGAUUCGAUUUUAGCAUGCAUAAAACUUUGGUUAGAUUUGAUCUUGAUCUAAAAGUUCUUUGAUCAAUAUCAUAUGUUAGUGGAAUGAAAUAAUUUUGUGUUUUGGUUAAACUUUGAUAGAAAACUAAAAUCUCAAAAUGCUUUUGAAAUUUUGAGAUUUUGAGAUUUUACAAGAUUGAUUCGAAUCAUUCAGUUUUAUACUGAAUUUUUCAUCCUAAUCAAAUUGGACAGAAGUGAAACUCAAUAAUUUGAUUCUGAUCAAAUUUUACACUUGAUCCUGAUCAUUUUCCUGGGGACAAAUUCUAUUUGAUUUAAUUCGAAUCAAUAUUUGUACAUGAUUCAAAUCAAAGAGAUACUAUAUUGUAAAGCAAAUAAUAUUACACAUGUUCCAAGAGAGAGAAAAAACAUAUAUGAAAGCGUUUUGUUGAAGCUGGAAAGUACAAUAGUGACAAACGACAACCACUAUUUAAUAUAAGAGACACUUGAUAAACCAAGUCUCUUCAACAAAUUUGCAUUUCUCCUUCAUUAAUGUAUCACCUUGACAACAGGAAUGACAAUUUUUUCAUGGAUCACAUUAAAAAUUAAGAACGUACUUUGCCAGUAGUCCAUGUCAAAGCCAGCCUAGUGAAGAUAAUAGAAUGAUUAUACACUAUUAUAGUGGAAAUUAUACAUAAGAGGUCCCUCCCCCUAUUAAUUGUGGAUGUAAAUUACUUCACCAAAUGGAUCGACGUUGAGACCUUAGCAAAGAUCACAACCACCGUCAUUCCGAAACUCACAAUGUGAUACCUUCUCACCAAAGAGCUUUAUUAUCUCCUCCUUAGUGUAUGCCUCAAUUUUAAAAUGGGUUUCAAUAUAACACUUUUUAUUCAUGGGAAGAUCAACGCCUUUAGGGUCCACGUCUUAUUUUAGAAUUUCGUAAGGGUCUUCUUCAAAAACACUUCCUCAUCAGAUAAGUCAAUGCUCUUGUAUAUGUACGUCUUAAUACUCAUCAGAAGAUGAUGCUGCCUCCAAAACUUUGAGCAUAUAUUUAUGCAUAACGGGGGAAAUAAAAGUUCAAUGAGGUGAAGGAGAGAACCUCGGAGAAUACUCAUCGUUGUUGAAGGCCUCUGUCGUGAUUUCACAAAAACUUCGGUGAGUUGUACGGUUAAGGGGUGCAAAAAAUUAAUAUACUAACUUAAACCUUCUGACUAUAUAUAAUAUAGUAUAUAAUUAUAUAUAUUACUUAAUAUAUUAUAUUAUAUAUAUAUAUAUAAUAUAUAUAUAUAAUAUAUAUAUAUAUAUAAUAUAUAAUUAUAUAUAUAUAUAUAUAUAUUUAUAAUAUAUAUUUAAGGAUUAAUUACUAUGCAUUGUGAAUGUAAAAAUUACACCGUCGAUCUUCAUCAUCAUCUGUUUGCUUUACUUUAUAAUUUUUAAAAUAAAAGUCAAAUUUAUUUCAAUAUCCAACGUUUAAGAUUAACUGACUGUGUAAAAUCUUUUUACACUGUAAGUGUAUUUCAUUAAAUUAUAUUUAUAUUAUAUAUUAUAUAUAUUAUUAUAAUAUAUAUAUAUAUAUAUAUGGAUUAAUUACUAUGCACUGUCAGUGUAAAAAAAUUUACACCGUCGAUUCAUCACCAUCAUCCAUUUGCUUUACUUUAUAAAUAAAAGUCAAACUUAUUUCAAUAUCUUUCGACCUUGUUUGAAAGAGAUUAGUCCUUCGGGGAGAUCAUGGUUAUUAGAUGUUCUCAAUACACGAAUAAAUUGAAGAAGAAAAAUGUUAGCGUAUGAAUGUUAUUCUUUUUUUAUAUUCACACAAAUGUUUAAAAUCUUUUACAUAGGCCUAACUCAAAGGAUCCUUAUAUGAGAGAGAUAUCAUCAAAUGGUUUAGAAUUCCAAAUUCAAGGUCAUUAAAGGUAAGGUCGAACCACAUUAUAGAGAACGAGCAUUCGUGUAGAGGUAGUCCAUACAUUACAUAUUGGCUACAUUGUCGCUUACCAUUUUUGGUGUGGAUUAGUUGACAUUCUGAAGACGGGCCAACAUCUCAGUGAGCAAGAUCUAUUAUAUCUUCAUUUGUGUACUAGGACAGAGUCCUCAAGAUUUCUUCGUCUACCUAGAAAUAUUAACCACCAUCCUCGAGAAGAUCAAGAGUCAACUACAUCUUUCUCCCCAUGUUUGUUUCACUGUCAAUAAAUACAAAAUGCCUAACGUGAGUAUUACACCUUGUUAUUCUUCUAACCACUUAUUAAUCUCACCCUCAGUAACCUAGUGAAUGAACAAAUGUCAUAUACACCUAGUAACACUUUGAUUUCCUCGUUCCUCCCUAAGAUUCCCCAAAAAUGUGAGAGCAGUCAUCGGAAUUUCACCAAAGGUAAACACAACACCAACAUUCCUCUACUAUAUCUUAGUAGGGACAGGUUGUCUACUUUCUACAUUAAUCACUCCUAGGUUCGUCGGCUAUGGUUCUAUCACUUCUAGAUUAAUCACCUCUACAUUAGUUCAAGAUGAUGCAUCACUAAUCUCUACGUUGCUCCUAAGAUUGAUAAAGGGAUUCUAUAGUUCUAAGUUUUCUAAAUGGACCAUUAGUGAGAGACUAACCAAAAUCAAAGAACAAAAAGAUAUAAGAAAAUAUGUACAUUUUGCUUUAGUGUAAGUUCUUAAGAUUUAAGAGGGAAGCAAUUUGAUUCAAAUCAAAAGAUUCGGACCCUAAGAAACUUCAACAACAAUGGCAAAAAUCACAAUAAAAAGAAGAGAGAAGUCAUAUAUUGAAGAGUAAAUGCAGUCUAAAAAAUGAAUUUAAAUCCUAAAUUCCCAAAUAAUAAACAUUGAAAGCACCAACAUCAACCGUCUUGAUUCAACAACACAUACCAUCAUCCAAAUUUAUAUAUCCCUCGUUUAUAAAACAUACAUUCAUUCAAAUUUAAGAAAAUGCUCAAAUAUCAAAUUUCACAUCCAAAUCUCAAACAAGGUUGGGGGUAACAUUUCCCAAAUCCCUUCCUCCUGCAGAAAGAAAGUUAUAGGCAGAGGGGACUUCAUUAUGCAUAUCACUUUACAAGGAUUUGGACAUUGUUAAUUGCUAAGAAAAGCACAACGAUGACUACAUGUGUUCCAAGUUUUACUCAAAUAAAUGACACUUAAUCAUGUCUUGUUCAUUUCAAACAUAUUCCUUUUUAUUCUGCAACAUCAAAGUUAAUUAAGUCUAAUUCAUUUCCGCAAAACUCUUAGACCCGAAUUGGGCAGUAGAAAAAACGGUAAUUGUGACAAAUCUUUUUUCAAUUCAAAUCUGUACAUAGAAUGCUAAACCAUGAUCAUGCACAAAGAUGUCGUAAGACUUUGAAUUUUGCCCACAUAAUUCAAAACAAACAGGACCAAUCUACAUAAAACCGUGGAAUUUAUAACAUCAAAUUUGCAAACACUAGGUGGAAAUUACUACAAAUCUUCUAUUAAAUUAUCCUUCAUUCAAAUAAUUAAAGCAAUGAGAAGCAAUUUAACAAGACGAAUAUUUGCCCCACUAUGAAGUUAUAAUACUGCAAGUUCUCCUAUAACCAAUAACAGAGAUUAACAAAUUAAUACACAAGGAUUCAUUUGAUUUAAAAAAAGUUACACGCUAAUUCAGACCUAAUGCUAGCAUAGAUAAAUCUAUAAUAACCACUACAAAUCUCAAGCACUUGUAAACUUAGUGACAGCUUUCGUCCCUUCAGAAACAGCAUGCUUAGCCAAUUCUCCAGGCAGAACAAGCCUGACCGCAGUCUGAAUUUCCCUCGAUGUGAUUGUUGGCUUCUUGUUGUACCUUGCAAGUCUGGAAGAUUCAGCAGCAAGCUUCUCGAAGAUGUCGUUGAUGAAGCUGUUCAUGAUUCCCAUGGCCUUGCUUGAGAUACCGAUGUCAGGGUGAACCUGCUUCAGAACUUUGAAGAUAUAGAUCUUGUAUGUCUCCACAUUCUUCUUGUUUCUCUUCUUCUUCUUGUCUCCGGCGGCGGCACCAGCUUCCUUGGGAAGUUUCUUUCCAGCCUUGGGUUUCUUCUCGGCCGGAGACUUCUCGGCCACCGUAGACUUCUUCUCUUCGACAGGUUUCUUCUCAGCGGGCUUCUUCUCUCCCUUUGGCGCCAUUAGAGAAUUGAGAAUUUGAAACUAAAAUAAAAAUAGGGUUUCGAAUUGGGAAUUGGAAAUCAAAUGUGUUAUGAAUAGUGUUGUUGCGGUGAUUUAUAUAUAUAAGAAGGUUGUCGCGUUGCUAUUGGCCAAUGUGGUUAUUUCCGGAUCGUUGACGUGGAACUCUUUUAGCCGUUACACUCAUUUUUAUAAGGACAUGAUAGUCGACGGUCACUAUUGGCUUUAACUCAGCGAUGAUGAGGGUGCUGUGGGUGACUAGGAUGACGUUGAUACAUGCUUAUUAGAUUGCUAAAAUAAAAUAUACUCCGCAUUUAAAGAUAUUUUUAAAAAAAUCAUCUACACAUAUUUAUACAUUUUUAACAUAAGUUAAAUUAAUUUUUUAUUUUUAUUUUUAAACUCUUUUUUUAAAAAAAAAAUAUUUUAUAUCUAUCUAAAUACAUUUAAAAACAAAAUUUUCAUUUUCAUUAGUACAUCGAAGGAAUGAAGAUCACAAACAUAAUUCUUUUAGAGCAUUUAUCCAUAGAAAUAGUUUUACUUCAGUGAAACCUAAGAAUAAGAUAAAUCUGACACAUAAUCAAAGCUUCAAAACACUUAGGAUUGUCAGAUUUAUAUUUGUAAGGAUCAUUCAACAUAUGUCCAGUUAAACAACUAUAGGGAGUAUAAGGUUUUAGGCCUCUAAAAAUCUUAUAACUUUACUAUAAAAGACAAACGAAAGCUUUGCAUUUAGGUACAUACUAGUUUAAUCAUAAAUAUCUCUCACUUUCGAUUGUCACUCACUUGUCAUCGUAGUAUUUGCAGGUACCCCCUUCCUUCAUUGUCUCUGCUCAGGAGCAUCAAGACACUAAAUCAACUACUUGAGUUCAUAAUUAGAUGUCAAUUCACCGCUUCGCUCAUGAACCAAAUAUGUCUUUUCAAGAAUAAUUGGUGUCGUCUAUGGAACUCGACUUUCGAUGUUUCCACAAUACUCGACAACAAGAUUCAUUGGUGAACAAAGGAAGAAAGAUCGCAACAACGUCAGUGACAAGACCACUCCAUUUUCUAUCAAGUGAGAUCAUCAAAACUGCUCCAAACUCACAUACGAACAUACAAUAUUUCAGUCAUCUCAAGGAGCAUCAAUUCACUUACCUCUACCGCUAGCGGUUUCAACAUUUCCUUCUUUAGUCGAAGGCAUAAUGUUGUUGGUGAGAUUGUUAUCAAUUGAAUGAAUUCAACAAUUACCCCUAAAUAUAUUAGUAAGCGACAAUACUCUGCAUUAUCGACCCCUUUGAGCAAUAUAAUGAAAGGCUUUAAUGGAUUGAAGUGUCAGUCUCAACAAGCAAAUCCCCAUGAAGGACCGGAUCGGGUUUGAUAAGAGUCAAUGACGAAACACUUACAUUCAACGAGAAGGAUCUAGAGGAAUCAUCAUGUCCUCUUGACCCUAGAUCCCACUCCCUAAACCCAAGGAACCUUCAUCGUCUAGUCCCAAAGACCAUAAUCUUUGUCACAACCGGCACCACGGGAAUUUUUCACCAACUUCCUUUUUAUAAGAAAUUGGGUAAGGCGAGGAUACUCCUAAAAGGGAAUUUUCCCCCUUAGAACAAAAAUACCCCUUUAUCUCUUGUCUUUAUUAUAUAUUAUUGGUUUUCCAUCUAUCUUUUUAUUUUGUUGCAUAAUUACUUAUUUGUUUCUCCAAAAUAUUACCAAACUCUAUUUUUCCAAAUGAUUUAGUUUUCAACCAAUAUUUUCUAAACCUCCAUAUCUCCCCCUCCCCCUUCUUGUUUAUGAAGUCAUGUGUUCAACAAGUGGAAUCAUAGUCUAACUCAUGUUCAAAGACUAAUCAUCUCUAGAGGAAGAUGACUUCAAACACUUCUUAUAACAAGAUGAAUUUCCUUAACACACCUUCAUCGUUUAAUGGUAAUAUGUUUGUUAUAUGAAAAGUUAUAUUUAAAAUGUUCAUUGAAAGCUAUAAUAAUAAAUUGUGGAAAAUGAUAGUCAAUGGUCCGUUUAUUCCUACUCACUAUGUUAACGGUGAAGUAGUAUAUAAACGUGGGUUCCUUUUGACCAAAGAAAACAAGACAAAGUUCAAACUUAAUUUUAAAGAUAAAAACUUUUUUGUUAUGACUUUAAGUGAAAAUCAAUUUCUUUAUGUCCUUAAAUGUAAAUCCGCAAAGGAAGUGUGGGACACUCUUGAAAAGAUAUACAGAGUGUCUCUAAGUAUCGGACAAGAGAUAAUUAACACAUGAGUCUAAUAAGUUGAAUCACUAGAUUAAUAUGAAGAUUUACUUCAUAUAUGGUGUUCAACCACUGGAAAUAUUGGAAGACAUGAUAGAACUUUUGUAGCUAACAAAUAUCUAAUAAUUAAUAAUUGAAAUCAUAAAUUUGAUCCAAUCCUUAAAUCAAGAAUAGAGAUGUUUAUGAUUUUCAGGAAAAAUCUAGAAAGGGAGAGAUCUUUGAAAAGCUUAACAAAUUGAUACAAGUAUUAAAGGAUGAAAGAAUGAGCUCAUAAAUCCUAGAAAAUUCAUUGAAGAAAAAUUAUUUUUGAAGAAAAAGAAGAAAAAGAAGAAUAGUAAACUUCAAUAGUUUUAUUUGAAAGAACAAUAUCAAUUGACGAACGAUCCUCAGAAAUUUCAUUGUCUAGUAAUGAAACAACUUCAAUAAGGACGGUGUUUCGCCAAAUCUCAGUAUGGUGCCCAUUUGUUGAGUCAACAUGUGGAUCAUUUCAUAAUUAUUUUCGUUCAUUUGUUGUCUUAUGACUGCGACAGAACUUGACGUGAAAGUUGGGAUUGACUGAGAUGACAAUCCAAAACCUGGGGGUCGACCGAGUUGGCUUGCCAAAGGUCCUAACCCCUGGUUUCGUGGGAAUGGCGAUGACGAUGUUUCGCCAAAUGUCGAACCGAAAUUAUGCAUACUUGCCAUAAACUCGGUUGGCAUUCCCAACAUUCUGUGCAUGGGGACUGUGAAACUGGGCAUAUAUUGCCCAGAAGUUUCCAUCGUUGUUGGCGUCAGCGUUUGAGGCUGACGCAGUGUUAGAAUCGGCCCACUAUACACAGUCAAAACCGCAAGUAUAGCGCUGGAACCAACAUCGGUUGUUUGUGACGCAAUUGUGUCUUCCGCCAAAGACAUUUCUUCGUGUGGUCGUGGUGAGAUCAUCUUACCACUACGUAGUUUCAUAUACUGAACAUUUCGGGUCUCACCAGGUGUGCCAAUUUGUUUCUCGCGACAAUCUCUAGCUUUUCUAUUUAAGAUUUACUUGCAUGACCGGCUACAAAGUCCUAGACUUAUAUGUGUUGAGUGUAUGACUAUUUCGUUGAUAAAGUGUUUAGAAUACUUUUGGGUAGUAAGUGCAAUAUUUUGCAAAUUAGAAAUGGAAUAAAAGGCAAAAUACUGAUGUAAAUGAACAAAGCAAAUAAAAGUAAUUUGGCAAGUUAAAUGACUUGAAGAUAAAAAUGGAAGCAAAAGUACAUUUUGUAGGAAGAUAACUUUUUUCUCUCAAACACUUCAUACUUCAAGUGUAUUCCUACUGCAAUGUUAAAAAUAUCUCCCUCAUAAAUGAAAAUUACAUCUACUUAAAUAUUAGCAAAAAAUAAUUGUUGGGAGAUUACGACCCAUUUAUGAGAUGACAUGUGUCGGGCAUAUCUCUCACGUUUGCUGGUAACUUCUCACGUUCAGCUUCCCACGAUUAAUCCCUACCAUAGUAAGCGGACCUUUUCGACUUUGACAGACUUCCCCUUUCGUCAAUCCAGCGCUCUUGGCUCUCCGCCUCGUCAAUCCAGCUUUCGAGUGUCCUUUGGUCGACCCUAUUUUAUACCUCUUGGGUUGAAAUUUGCCAGCUAAUAUAAUGUUAUUCUUGUAUUCACACCAAUGUUUGAAAACUUUCACAUAAACUAACUCUUUGGGUCCAUGUGAGGGAGAAAUCCUAAAUGAUAUAGAGUUCCAAAUUCAAAGUCAUUAAAUGGAAGGACAAAUCACAUUCUAGAGAACAAACAUUUGUAUAGAGGUAGUCCAUACAUUCCAUAUCGGUUAUAUUAUCGCUUACCAUUUUUUGUGUGGAUUACUUCCCAAUUUGAAAACGGACCAACAUCUCUGUGAAAAAAGAUCCAUACCAAGACGAGUUACGGAGUUUUCUUCGUCUACCUAUAGAUAUUGAUCACCAUCAUCGAUAAGAUCAAUAGUCAAUGCUUUCUCCCCGUGUUCGUUUCGUUGUCAAUGGAUAUAAACUACCUAAUGUGAGUAUUAGGUCUUGAUAGUUCCUCUAAUCACCUAUUAAUCUCACCCUGGGUAACCUCGUAAUGGAACAGACGCCUUAUACACAUAGCAACAUUUUGAUUCACUUUCUAGGUUAGUCACUCUUAGGUUUGUCGCCUCAGGCUCUUCUGUGACUUCUGGUUAAUCACCUCCACCUCAGUUUAAGAUGAUGUAUCACUAAUCGCUACUAAAAUAAAUGAAAGGAUUACGUGUUCUGAGAUUUCUAAAUUGGCCAUUAAGUUGGACAUUAGUGGGAGACUAACGAAAAUCAAAGAAUAGCGAGAUAAGAAAACAACUACCUUAAUUUGAUUGUAUCGUAUCUUUCAAUUAUAAUUUGAUUGUAUCAAAACAUCCACAAUUAUCGAAACAUAAUUCUAAAAUCCAUCAAAAUUUGGAUCAAAAUUAAUGCUCUGGUAUCAAAUUUCGCAUACAAAUCUCAAACAACAUGGUCGGAUACGUUUUACCAAACCCAAUGCUCUUGCAGAAGUGAAGUUACAGGCAUAGAGGGGACUUCAUAAACAAUAUGACCAGUAUGGUUGAAAUUUAGAUACCCGGGGAAUUUAUAAACAACAAAUUUGUAAACAAAUAGACUAGGGUGAAAAUUUCAACACCAUUUAAGCUCUUUAAUUCAAAAAAUUUAAGACGAACAUACCCCAUUAUAAACUUAUAAUACUGAAAAAUCAUACAUAACCAAAAACAAGAGGAUUGAUUUGAUUUUAAAAGAAAGUUACACACUAAUUCAGACCUAAUUCUAGCACUUAUACAAAAUUCAAGCACUUGUAAACUUAGUGACAGCUUUCGUCCCUUCAGAAACAGCAUGCUUAGCCAAUUCUCCAGGCAGAACAAGCCUGACCGCAGUCUGAAUUUCCCUCGAUGUGAUUGUUGGCUUCUUGUUGCUCUGUUGUACCUUGCAAGUCUGGAAGAUUUUCUCGAAGAUGUCGUUGAUGAAGCUGUUCAUGAUUCCCAUGGCCUUGCUUGAGAUACCGAUGUCAGGGUGAACCUGCUUCAGAACUUUGAAGAUGUAGAUCUUGUAUGUCUCCACGCUCUUCUUGUUUCUCUUCUUCUUCUUGUCUCCGGCGGCGGCACCGGCUUCCUUGGGAAGCUUCUUUCCGGCUUUGGGUUUCUUCUCGGCAGGAGACUUCUCGGCCACCGUAGACUUCUUCUCUUCAACAGGUUUCUUCUCAGCGGGCUUCUUCUCUCCCUUUGGCGCCAUUGAGAAUUGAGAAUUUGGAACUUUGAAGAAAAAUUAGGGUUUCGGAUUGGAUAUUAGAAUUGGAAAUCAA
rnacentral:lncRNA from 1 species